AUGCGCCCGAGGUUCCUGU
rnacentral:piRNA from 1 species